rnacentral:rRNA from 1 species
GUACAUGCCCAUUGCAUAGUGUUAAUACACUGGAUCCCAUUAGAACUUCGCAGCUAGGCGUGCUUGGGCUAGAGUAGUACUUGGAUGAGUGACUGCCUGAGAAGUCCUAGUGUUUUACAUG